CCCACCGCCCACGGCUUCCACGCGACCAUCGGCUCGCGGCGCGGCAUGCGCCGUGCCACACUGCCACCCCAACCUCACGGCCAGCGCGCACGCGGGCGGGCGAGCUCCCCUCGCUCGCCCUCCUCCUCGCCAUCUAACCCCCUUCCUCUCGGCUCGAUUCGGUGCGGCCGGAGAGGAAGGGAGUGGACGCCGCCCCGACGUAAUCCACAUUACGGGCCUCGCGCGAGGCAGCCACCGCCGCCACGGGUGGGACUGGGUGCGUCAAGCUGAUCUUCGUUGAUUGCGCAGCGCAGGUCCUGUGACCGCAUCAUGGCAUUCGUCUCGCGGUGUGAAGAAUCUUAAGACUGGCAUCUGCUUUUUGGGCAGCUGUUUGCUUCAUAUCAGAACUCUGCUAUAUUAAUCCAUGAGGCCCAACUUGAUCCUAUUCCGAUUGAUGGUCAUCCUCGUGGCCAAUGGGGAAGAGAAUUCAUUCUCUGAGAUGUGAUAAUUUAUUGAGUUUAUGUUUUUAACAAAGUGAAUCAAACUGAUUCCCCAAAAGCUACCAGGUAGUCAGCUUUGAGUUUGAAGUAUUUGGGCAACUUGUUGUCCUAUUAUUUCCUACUGAAGGGGAGACCUUGCGUGCUAUGGUCGCAGAGAAAAGAUUUGUACAUGUUGCCAGCGACAGCGACUUCUACUCAUUGCAUAAAGUUUCUCCACCGUUCUAAUGAACUGGAUAUCUGGAAGAGUUUCUAAUGCACUACAGCUUUGGUUCGCUCACUGAAUCAUAAGGCAUGACAGACAACCAGAGCAGUAACACCAGAAAUAUCCACCUUACUCUACAGGUAACUAAGCAUGUUCAGGUGAAAUGGACUUCUGACUAGCACUAUAUAUGACGUUUUGGUCACUUUCUCUUGCUCUGUAAGGACAAUCUCAUCAAGUAUGUUCUUUAUGUGAUGGUACCUAUGGGGAAUCUUUGCAGUAAAACCAUGUAACGUUGAAAGAUGGCACUUUAACCUAACCAGAAGGAAGUUCACAGCUUUGAUUGUCACAUGGGCAGGAAGCUUAUUCAAGUGUAGCCAAAUUUUGUCAUUAUGAAAGUUCAGAGGUGUCAAAGACAACAGCCACUUGGAGAUCAAAGCCUAUCUGUAAGUUUGGUGAUUGCUUUGGUCCAGCUCAGAUAUACUUUUACAUCAGUGUCCGGUUAGUUCCCAGGCCAAUGGUCAGCUCUUCAAUUUGCUCACCUUCACCUAGUGGCACCAGUCUGGCACCUUUCUGAGAAACGUUGAGCGAGGUACAUCAACAUUUCUAUGCAAGAUUGCUAUCUUUGUGUUGCAUCCACUGUGCUUUACCGAUUAGUGGCGCCAGAUAUUGGAGUAUAAACAUCUACAAUCUGGUAUUCUGAUGGUAUCAGGAGGCCGGUGUUAUCGUGGACUACCAAAUUGGCCGGCUAUGUUUCAUUGUGGCCGUUGAAGCAUUGCUGUCAACAGUUGGUCCUAACUUCACUUGUUGGGUAGGUGCAUGCAGCUUAAAAAGGUUAAUGGAGUGCAUCAUAUAGCUUUGUACAGAUGCACACCACACACGACCAGGGAUUAUAGAGGGCCCAACAGUUGGCAAAAGUUAACAUGUCGAGCCAAUUAAUGACAGCUCCUAUCUUGGACAGAACAAUCUUGGAUGUUUGCUGCAACAGAAUGGUCCUCCCAGGCACAGCCUAAAGCCACUGCAGUCUUUUCUCCCAAGAAAGAAGCUUCCUUUUUCUCUAAUAAGGCCAGCUUAAUCUGCGGUUAACUACGCGCUUGGGUAAGUAAGAUCAGGAGAGGUUGAAGGACAGGCAGGGAGAGGGAAUCCAGGCUCUGAUUUGCUGGGAUGCUGUUCCUUCAGGCGCAAGCUCUAAUUAUUCUGCGAGCUUAGGAGUCACGUCUCGGCAUGUGAUUCGAUCGAGGUAUGCGAGGCUUAUGGCUAACUCUGGUACGUGGUCCAGCUUGAUUAGUCACUUGCAAGCUUGAAGAGGACAGGGGGGAGGGGGAUGCUUAGAUAUUGGUCGCCAGCAACACGGGACCAUGUGUGUUUCGCUGGACCAUUAUCGAUCACCGCGACUCACCGGCACGCAGUAGGUGCUGGUGGACCAUAAUCACUACUCCCUCUAGUGUGUACAAAGUUAAUGUGCUGUUUUAGAAAUAGCUUGGAAUGUAAAAAGGCUUAUGAUAUAGGGGAUUGCUAUUUAUAAUUGGCACGAAUAAUUCUAUUAUUCCACCCAUUUUUCUGUCCGUGAAAGACGCUUCAAGAUUCGAUCUUUUGAUACGUAUGGUUAUUGUAAAAGCUCUCAUUAAUCUACAUCCUCAUAAUGUGGCA